rnacentral:lncRNA from 7 species
GAUUUUACUGCCUUGUUUUUAUUGCUGUACUUUCCUUUAUGUUAUAACAUUACAAGCAGAAAGCAGGGCUGCUGUUUCACAGGAGAGCUCAGCUGAGAUUAAGCCUGAAUCUGGCCUGACCCACUGCUGGGCAGCAAGACCUUCACCUGCCUCAAGCAUCCUACAGAUGGAACAACAGUGGUGUGAUAUCCAUCCUAGUGCUGUUCUGGGAAGCAUGUUAAUCUCUGUGUCUUCUUCAGGAAGGAUUACUUGUACCUAGUUUUAGCCAUUUAAAAGUUGGGGUGUCUAAGCUGGUGAUCCAGGUUUCAUCUAAUGGCUGUGGAGAGAAAGGGAGGCAUUUCCAGAGGGUGAGUCACCUUUUCCAAUGUGCAGUGCCUAAAGUGGGUGCAUGAUUCAUCCUUCGAAGGCAACAGCCUCUCUUUCUACGGCUUAAAUGACUAGCUUCAACUAAAAGCCUAACUUUCUGACAGAAAUAAACCAGUUUCAACAUUACCCACAUUUGCCCUGAGCUACUUUCAAAAUUCAGAGCUACGUAUGUAAGAAAGUUUACUUCUCAGUAGAUGACCCUUUCAAAGGACUGUUCUGUGCUUCCUCCUGGAAUCGGCAGGUCUUUGUCCUUCAAAAUGGUGCUGAGAUGGUUUUCUCAAGUUUCAGAGAGUCAGAGAAACUAAAGCCUAGCGAGAGGAUAAGUAGAAGUCACUUAGCCCAUCCCCAAACCCCAGGCAGAAAGCUGUUGCUGAGUUGUGUUAUACUUAGUGCUUUGUCCUUUCAACAAUAUCUUCCAGAAGUCAGUCAGAAAAUUCGAAUAGUCUUCAAUGGGCUUUCAUCCAAGCCUGCAGAGCCUGCAGGACACGUCUGCUCCAGGACACGGCUGUUGGAGCUGCAGAGGGGAGGCUGGGGGUCAGCAGGGCCGUGCCCUUGGCUUCCGAGGAGGGCAGAGCU